rnacentral:hammerhead_ribozyme from 1 species
ACACUGCUGAGGAGUCCCAUAAUAGGACGAAACAGUCGUCCAAUGC